UACGUAGGGGGCUAGCGUUGUCCGGAUUUAUUGGGCGUAAAGAGCGUGUAGGCGGCCAGGUAGGUCUGCUGUGAAAACUCGAGGCUCAACCUCGAGACGUCGGCGGAAACCAUCUGGCUAGAGUCCGGAAGAGGAGAAUGGAAUUCCUGGUGUAGCGGUGAAAGUGCGCAGAUAUCAGGAAGAACACCCGUGGCGAAGGCGGCGUCUCUGGGACGGUACUGACGCUGAGACGCGAAAGCGUGGGAGCGAACAGG
rnacentral:rRNA from 1 species